rnacentral:rRNA from 1 species
AAGCGUAACAAGGUCUCCGUUGGUGAACCAGCGGAGGGAUCAUUACUGAGUUUACGCUCUACAACCCUUUGUGAACAUACCUAUAACUGUUGCUUCGGCGGGCAGGGUCUCCGUGACCCUCCCGGCCUCCCGCCCCCGGGCGGGUCGGCGCCCGCCGGAGGAUAACCAAACUCUGAUUUAACGACGUUUCUUCUGAGUGGUACAAGCAAAUAAUCAAAACUUUUAACAACGGAUCUCUUGGUUCUGGCAUCGAUGAAGAACGCAGCGAAAUGCGAUAAGUAAUGUGAAUUGCAGAAUUCAGUGAAUCAUCGAAUCUUUGAACGCACAUUGCGCCCGCCAGCAUUCUGGCGGGCAUGCCUGUUCGAGCGUCAUUUCAACCCUCAAGCUCUGCUUGGUGUUGGGGCCCUACAGCUGAUGUAGGCCCUCAAAGGUAGUGGCGGACCCUCCCGGAGCCUCCUUUGCGUAGUAACUUUACGUCUCGCACUGGGAUCCGGAGGGACUCUUGCCGUAAAACCCCCAAUUUUCCAAAGGUGACCUCGAUCAGGUAGAUCCGCACG